rnacentral:rRNA from 1 species
UACGUAGGGUGCGAGCGUUAAUCGGAAUUACUGGGCGUAAAGCGUGCGCAGGCGGUUCUCCAAGUCCGUUGUGAAAGCCCCGGGCUCAACCUGGGAAUGGCAGUGGAAACUAGGGGACUUGAAUCUGGCAGAGGGGGGUAGAAUUCCACGUGUAGCAGUGAAAUGCGUAGAUAUGUGGAGGAAUACCGAUGGCGAAGGCAGCCCCCUGGGAUAACACUGACGCUCAUGCACGAAAGCGUGGGGAGCAAACAGG